CUCAUCCUCUCCUGUGCUGCUCAUCCCACAUUCCCGCUUUGUCAAUUUCAUCAACAUCAAGCCAAGAUGAUAAGGCAGCUGAAUCUGCUAUUGCCAACCAUAUGUUUGAGUGUAUUUAUCAAUAGUGGGAGAGUUCUUGAUCAAUAUGGAAGUACACUUAAACCGGAUGUGGUGGAAGCCUUGUUGUGUACUAGAGAUUGACCAUUUAGAGAUCAAGAUGCAAAUAAAUUAGAGUUGGAAGAACUUACAAAAUAUGCUAUGGAGCUUAAUUUGGAGUCUAUGGAAUCACAUAACUUAAUUCAUAUUUGUCCUUCCUCCUCUAACUUUGUAGUUUAGAUUAUAUUUAUAUAUGUUUUAUUUUAGAGUAAUGCGAAUGGUGGUUAUUAUU